CUGUACUUCUAGCUCAAUCUUCAGGCCGGUAAAUCUCUUGGUGGAAAAGGAGCGGAAGUUGGAUCUGGCAGAGAUUCCUGGUGGUCAGUCAAGUGGAUACAAACCUGAAACCCGCCCACAAGUCUCUCAGGGUCACCUUGGGACCUCCAUGAGGUUUCUCCAGGCAGUCGUCCCUCUCUCAUACUGUGAACCAGGCACAGUCUGCAAUCAGCUUCCAAAAGGCCUGCUCUAGCCUAGGCAGGACAAGCCAUGCCCACAGAGGUCCUUUUAUUUAUUCUCCAGGCAGGAACAUGCAGGUACUGGUCUGUCGCCCAGAAGGCUCUGGAAUGAGUGCAAACCAGAAGAGGGUGCCUGUCUUGUUCUGAGCUUGAAGAUGGGACUGAGCAAGUACAUGUCCGGACAUUUUGGAAUUGUUAAAAAUUAUUUUUAAAAUAUUAAAAGCAAAGUGUUUUUGAGAAAUGAAGAUACUUGCCACAUGGAUUGGGCUAGGCCUAGAGAGUUCACAAAGCUCCUUAACAUUUGCUGUUUCGACGAGUCCCUGAUGGCGUUUGGCAGGAGAAAUGAAGUGGGGUUCUGAGAGAUUAUUAGAUACUCCCCUCCUUACUCCGCGCCCUGCUGUGUAUGGCUGAGACCAGCAACGAGGAAGCGAAGAAGCAAGAUUGUAUGUACCUCUCCAAAGGCAGCAAAUGAAAUGCCGGACUUCCGCCGGGGAAGACUGUCUGAACCACGACUGCUUUUCUUCAUCUCUGAGGACUGGGGCUGCGUUUAGAUUUAAACUGCUUUACUAGCAAAUUGAUUAUUUAUAUCAAGGCUGUCUCUGCAGCUUCCUUGUUGGUGCCAAGCUGGUUUAAAAGUUCCAGAUGCAGCAAAGCGAUCUCCAGCCUUGGCAGUGGUUGUCAGCAAGACCUUACUCAAAAUCAACUCCAGAAAAUUGGUCUAAACCAGAGACUAAACGCUGGCAGCCCAGGAGGUGAAAUCCAGCCCACAGGCCCAGGCUGGUGGCAAGCAUGAUUUGUUGCUGUCCUUGCUGUUUUUUUUCCUUUUUUGAAAAAUUUUUGUUUGUACAGUGUAGACUCUCACAAUUUUUUAAAAUUAUAGACUUACAUCAACUUUGCAAGAAUAAAGAAUUCUCAUGUACCCUUCACCCAGAGUCACCAAAUGUUAACUUUUUAUCCCCCAUGUUAUUAUUAUUUGAGCCACUUGAGAAUAAGUUGCAGACUUACUUCUAAACAGUUCGGUGAAUAUUUCCUAAAAAAACACCAAGAAUAGUCUCUCAUAGAAUCACAUAUAAUUAUCAAAUCAGGAAAUUAACAUUGAUGCAGUAUUACUAUUAAUACCUAGUCUAUAUACCUUAUUCACAUCUCACCAACUGACCCCUUCCAUGCUUUA